AAAUAAACAAACCUGCAAUCAAAAUAACCCAUAAAACCCAACCCUAAAUCUCUCUCAACUCUCAAAGUCUACUGCCGCCCUCCCCUCCCCCAUUCGGCCUCUACGUCACUCGUCUGGUGCGCCUCCCGCCGAUCGUGCUCCACGCUGUCAACGUCGUUUCUGCGUUCGGUUCCUGCUCUUCUCCGCCGCUUCCUCUGCUCCAGUCUUGCUGUCCGGUGCUGCUCCUCGCCGCGUCCUCGGUCACUGCAGGUUUGUGAGAUCUAUUUAUUUCUCUCUGAUUUCUUCUCUCUUUCAUUGUCUCAGUCUCUCUCUCCAGAAUUUGCAUUCCUUCUCUGGGCUUGCUUCACCUUGACCUGAAUUGGAUUUGAAUGAUAAGCUCUGUACAUUACAUUAAAUGUUUGAUUCCUGGGAGAUUGUUCUUAAAUGGGUCCAGCAAUAUUGCUUCACUGUUUACACAACAAGGCAAGAAAGGGACCAAUCAGGAUGCCAUGAUUGUUUGGGAGGUACUAAACCUGGAGAAUAUGGACAAAACCAGGCAUUG